rnacentral:rRNA from 1 species
CUACGGGGCGCAGCAGUGGGGAAUAUUGGACAAUGGGCGCAAGCCUGAUCCAGCAAUACCGCGUGUGUGAAGAAGGCCUGCGGGUUGUAAAGCACUUUCAAUUGUGAAGAAAAGCGAGGGCUUAAUACGCUCUUGUCUUGACGUUAACUUUAGAAGAAGCACCGGCUAACUCUGUGCCAGCAGCCGCGGUAAUACAGAGGGUGCGAGCGUUAAUCGGAAUGACUGGGCGUAAAGCGUACGUAGGCGGUUUAGUAAGUCAGAUGUGAAAGCCCUGGGCUCAACCUGGGAACUGCAUUUGAAACUGCUAGACUAGAGUGUGGUAGAGGGAAGUGGAAUUCCGGGUGUAGCGGUGAAAUGCGUAGAUAUCCGGAGGAACACCAGUGGCGAAGGCGACUUCCUGGACCAACACUGACGCUGAGGUACGAAAGCGUGGGUAGCAAACAGGAUUAGAUACCCUUGUAGUC